UACGUAGGGUGCAAGCGUUAAUCGGAAUUACUGGGCGUAAAGCGUGCGCAGGCGGUUAUGUAAGACAGUUGUGAAAUCCCCGGGCUCAACCUGGGAACUGCAUCUGUGACUGCAUAGCUAGAGUACGGUAGAGGGGGAUGGAAUUCCGCGUGUAGCAGUGAAAUGCGUAGAUAUGCGGAGGAACACCGAUGGCGAAGGCAAUCCCCUGGACCUGGACUGACGGUCAUGCACGAAAGCGUGGGGAGCAAACAGG
rnacentral:rRNA from 1 species